rnacentral:RNase_P_RNA from 1 species
CGAGACGGCUAGGCGAUCGCCGAUUGUGAACGCAGUCGGAGGAAAGUCCGGGCUCCAGAGGACAGAGUGCCAGGUAAUGCCUGGGGAGCGUGAGCUCACGGAAAGUGCAACAGAAAGCAUACCGCCUCCACGCGAGUGGCGGCAAGGGUGAAAGGGUGCGGUAAGAGCGCACCGCGAUUUCUGGCAACAGAAUCGGCUAGGUAAACCCCACUCGGAGCAAGACCAAAUAGGGAUCGAAUCGCGUGGUCCGCGUGCGGUCCGGGUAGGUUGCUAGAGGCGCACGGCGACGUGCGUCCAAGAUGGAUGGUCGCCCAAGACAGAACCCGGCUUACCGGCCGUCUCGCACC